rnacentral:rRNA from 1 species
UACGUAGGGGGCUAGCGUUGUCCGGAUUUAUUGGGCGUAAAGAGCGUGUAGGCGGCCUGGUAGGUCUGCUGUGAAAACUCGAGGCUCAACCUCGAGAUGUCGGCGGAAACCAUCUGGCUAGAGUCCGGAAGAGGAGAGUGGAAUUCCUGGUGUAGCGGUGAAAUGCGCAGAUAUCAGGAAGAACACCUAUGGCGAAGGCAGCUCUCUGGGACGGUACUGACGCUGAUACGCGAAAGCGUGGGGAGCAAACAGG